CACGUAGGGUGCGAGCGUUGUCCGGAAUUAUUGGGCGUAAAGAGCUCGUAGGCGGUCUGUCGCGUCGAUCGUGAAAACUUGGGGCUUAACCCUGAGCUUGCGGUCGAUACGGGCAUGACUGGAGUUCGGCAGGGGAGACUGGAAUUCCUGGUGUAGCGGUGAAAUGCGUAGAUAUCAGGAGGAACACCGGUGGCGAAGGCGGGUCUCUGGGCCGUAACUGGACGCUGAGGAGCGAAAGCAUGGGGAGCGAACAGG
rnacentral:rRNA from 1 species